rnacentral:rRNA from 1 species
CCUACGGGUGGCAGCAGUGGGGAAUAUUGGACAAUGGGCGAAAGCCUGAUCCAGCCAUGCCGCGUGUGUGAAGAAGGCCUUCGGGUUGUAAAGCACUUUCAGUGGGGAAGAAAGCCUUGGGGCUAAUACCCUCGAGGAAGGACAUCACCCACAGAAGAAGCACCGGCUAACUCCGUGCCAGCAGCCGCGGUAAUACGGAGGGUGAGAGCGUUAAUCGGAAUUACUGGGCGUAAAGCGCGCGUAGGCGGUCUGAUAAGCCGGUUGUGAAAGCCCCGGGCUCAACCUGGGAACGGCAUCCGGAACUGUCAGGCUAGAGUGCAGGAGAGGAAGGUAGAAUUCCCGGUGUAGCGGUGAAAUGCGUAGAGAUCGGGAGGAAUACCAGUGGCGAAGGCGGCCUUCUGGACUGACACUGACGCUGAGGUGCGAAAGCGUGGGUAGCAAACAGGAUUAGAUACCCCAGUAGUC